GGAAUAUUGGACAAUGGGCGAAAGCCUGAUCCAGCAACGCCGCGUGGAGGACGAAGGCCCUCGGGUUGUAAACCCCUGUCAGGGGGGACGAAUGGGCGUCGGUCAAUAUCCGGCGCCUAUGACGGUACCACCGGAGGAAGCCCCGGCUCACCCCGUCCCAGCACCCGCGGUAAUACGGAGGGGGCGAGCGUUAUUCGGAAUUAUUGGGCGUAAAGGGCGCGUAGGCGGCUUGGCAAGUCAGGGGUGAAAUCCCUCGGCUCAACCGAGGAAUUGCCUCUGAAACUGUCUGGCUUGAGGCCGGGAGAGGGUAGUGGAAUUCCCAGUGUAGCGGUGAAAUGCGUAGACAUUGGGAGGAACACCGGUGGCGAAAGCGGCUACCUGGACCGGUUCUGACGCUGAGGCGCGAAAGUGUGGGGAGCAAA
rnacentral:rRNA from 1 species